ACUAAGCGUACACGGUGGAUGCCCUGGCAGUCAGAGGCGAUGAAGGACGUGCUAAUCUGCGAUAAGCGUCGGUAAGGUGAUAUGAACCGUUAUAACCGGCGAUUUCCGAAUGGGGAAACCCAGUGUGUUUCGACACACUAUCAUUAACUGAAUCCAUAGGUUAAUGAGGCGAACCGGGGGAACUGAAACAUCUAAGUACCCCGAGGAAAAGAAAUCAACCGAGAUUCCCCCAGUAGCGGCGAGCGAACGGGGAGCAGCCCAGAGCCUGAAUCAGUAUGUGUGUUAGUGGAAGCGUCUGGAAAGGCGCGCGAUACAGGGUGACAGCCCCGUACACAAAAAUGCACAUGCUGUGAGCUCGAUGAGUAGGGCGGGACACGUGGUAUCCUGUCUGAAUAUGGGGGGACCAUCCUCCAAGGCUAAAUACUCCUGACUGACCGAUAGUGAACCAGUACCGUGAGGGAAAGGCGAAAAGAACCCCGGCGAGGGGAGUGAAAAAGAAUCUGAAACCGUGUACGUACAAGCAGUGGGAGCACGCUUAGGCGUGUGACUGCGUACCUUUUGUAUAAUGGGUCAGCGACUUAUAUUCUGUAGCAAGGUUAACCGAAUAGGGGAGCCGAAGGGAAACCGAGUCUUAACUGGGCGUUAAGUUGCAGGGUAUAGACCCGAAACCCGGUGAUCUAGCCAUGGGCAGGUUGAAGGUUGGGUAACACUAACUGGAGGACCGAACCGACUAAUGUUGAAAAAUUAGCGGAUGACUUGUGGCUGGGGGUGAAAGGCCAAUCAAACCGGGAGAUAGCUGGUUCUCCCCGAAAGCUAUUUAGGUAGCGCCUCGUGAAUUCAUCUCCGGGGGUAGAGCACUGUUUCGGCAAGGGGGUCAUCCCGACUUACCAACCCGAUGCAAACUGCGAAUACCGGAGAAUGUUAUCACGGGAGACACACGGCGGGUGCUAACGUCCGUCGUGAAGAGGGAAACAACCCAGACCGCCAGCUAAGGUCCCAAAGUCAUGGUUAAGUGGGAAACGAUGUGGGAAGGCCCAGACAGCCAGGAUGUUGGCUUAGAAGCAGCCAUCAUUUAAAGAAAGCGUAAUAGCUCACUGGUCGAGUCGGCCUGCGCGGAAGAUGUAACGGGGCUAAACCAUGCACCGAAGCUGCGGCAGCGACGCUGAUGCGUUGUUGGGUAGGGGAGCGUUCUGUAAGCCUGCGAAGGUGUGCUGUGAGGCAUGCUGGAGGUAUCAGAAGUGCGAAUGCUGACAUAAGUAACGAUAAAGCGGGUGAAAAGCCCGCUCGCCGGAAGACCAAGGGUUCCUGUCCAACGUUAAUCGGGGCAGGGUGAGUCGACCCCUAAGGCGAGGCCGAAAGGCGUAGUCGAUGGGAAACAGGUCAAUAUUCCUGUACUUGGUGUUACUGCGAAGGGGGGACGGAGAAGGCUAUGUUGGCCGGGCGACGGUUGUCCCGGUUUAAGCGUGUAGGCUGGUUUUCCAGGCAAAUCCGGAAAACUAAGGCUGAGGCGUGAUGACGAGGCACUACGGUGCUGAAGCAACAAAUGCCCUGCUUCCAGGAAAAGCCUCUAAGCAUCAGGUAACAUCAAAUCGUACCCCAAACCGACACAGGUGGUCAGGUAGAGAAUACCAAGGCGCUUGAGAGAACUCGGGUGAAGGAACUAGGCAAAAUGGUGCCGUAACUUCGGGAGAAGGCACGCUGAUAUGUAGGUGAAGUCCCUCGCGGAUGGAGCUGAAAUCAGUCGAAGAUACCAGCUGGCUGCAACUGUUUAUUAAAAACACAGCACUGUGCAAACACGAAAGUGGACGUAUACGGUGUGACGCCUGCCCGGUGCCGGAAGGUUAAUUGAUGGGGUCAGCGCAAGCGAAGCUCUUGAUCGAAGCCCCGGUAAACGGCGGCCGUAACUAUAACGGUCCUAAGGUAGCGAAAUUCCUUGUCGGGUAAGUUCCGACCUGCACGAAUGGCGUAAUGAUGGCCAGGCUGUCUCCACCCGAGACUCAGUGAAAUUGAACUCGCUGUGAAGAUGCAGUGUACCCGCGGCAAGACGGAAAGACCCCGUGAACCUUUACUAUAGCUUGACACUGAACAUUGAGCCUUGAUGUGUAGGAUAGGUGGGAGGCUUGGAAGUGUGGACGCCAGUCUGCAUGGAGCCGACCUUGAAAUACCACCCUUUAAUGUUUGAUGUUCUAACGUGGACCCGUGAUCCGGGUUGCGGACAGUGUCUGGUGGGUAGUUUGACUGGGGCGGUCUCCUCCUAAAGAGUAACGGAGGAGCACGAAGGUUGGCUAAUCUUGGUCGGACAUCAGGAGGUUAGUGCAAUGGCAUAAGCCAGCUUGACUGCGAGCGUGACGGCGCGAGCAGGUGCGAAAGCAGGUCAUAGUGAUCCGGUGGUUCUGAAUGGAAGGGCCAUCGCUCAACGGAUAAAAGGUACUCCGGGGAUAACAGGCUGAUACCGCCCAAGAGUUCAUAUCGACGGCGGUGUUUGGCACCUCGAUGUCGGCUCAUCACAUCCUGGGGCUGAAGUAGGUCCCAAGGGUAUGGCUGUUCGCCAUUUAAAGUGGUACGCGAGCUGGGUUUAGAACGUCGUGAGACAGUUCGGUCCCUAUCUGCCGUGGGCGCUGGAGAACUGAGGGGGGCUGCUCCUAGUACGAGAGGACCGGAGUGGACGCAUCACUGGUGUUCGGGUUGUCAUGCCAAUGGCACUGCCCGGUAGCUAAAUGCGGAAGAGAUAAGUGCUGAAAGCAUCUAAGCACGAAACUUGCCCCGAGAUGAGUUCUCCCUGACUCCUUGAGAGUCCUGAAGGAACGUUGAAGACGACGACGUUGAUAGGCCGGGUGUGUAAGCGCAGCGAUGCGUUGAGCUAACCGGUACUAAUGAACCGUGAGGCUUAACC
rnacentral:rRNA from 1 species